rnacentral:ncRNA from 1 species
UAGCGGAGGGCGGUCAAACAGUGUUAACGACAGUGAAGGCUUGAAAUCACUGUUUCCGGCACGGACGCCGGAAACCCGGCCAUUGAGUCAUGGACGACGAUUUGGCCGGGUUCAGUGAUUUCAACUGAACGGAGUUUACACUGUUUCCGCCCGCAGCUU